AUAUUUAUUACACAAAUUGUCUGAGAAACUGCUGCUGUCAUGCAAGAGUUUACUCAAUCUAGGUGCUUGGAACUCAUGAUAGGGGCUUUAUAACAAAUGAGAAUGAAGCUCCGUCAAUUUUGACACAACUGUUGGAGAUGAUGAGUAUUGGAUGGAGAAGCUCAGGGAACAAGAAAUGAGGAUACACGUACGUGAAUGAACUUGACCAACACCUUAUAAUUCAACUGGUGGAAAUCAUGUAGCUCCCCUGCGCACAUGAAGUCGCAUGUGAACCAAGGACAUAACACAUGGAUGCUAUACUUGAUAUCAUUUGUGAAGGAUUGGCUAAUUAAGUUCAUUGUCGUAGGAGGAGCUGAAUUAUCAUUUUGUUUUUUCAUCAGUUGUCUAUUAGUUUAGCAUGUUGUUGUCAGAACUUAGUUAUCUUGGACAUGUAUUCACUGAACUCAGUAGUUCAUCUUUUUCGUGUAGUUUUACACCCAAUGGAUAAAAUGAAUGAAUGUUAAAAUUCUCAGUUUGAUUAUAAAUUUCAGUUAAAUUUGAA